AACGAACGCUGGCGGCGCGCUUAACACAUGCAAGUCGAACGCAUCUUCGGAUGAGUGGCAAACGGGUGAGUAACGCGUGGGAACCUACCUUGUGGUACGGAAUAACUGUUGGAAACGACAGCUAACACCGUAUACGCCCUACGGGGGAAAGAUUACGCCAUAAGAUGGUCCCGCGUCUGAUUAGCUAGUUGGUGAGGUAACGGCUCACCAAGGCAUCGAUCAGUAGCUGGUCUGAGAGGACGAUCAGCCACACUGGGACUGAGACACGGCCCAGACUCCUACGGGAGGCAGCAGUGGGGAAUCUUGGACAAUGGGCGAAAGCCUGAUCCAGCGACGCCGCGUGGGUGAUGAAGGCCUUAGGGUUGUAAAUCCCUUUCACCGGGGAAGAUGAUGACAUUACCCGGAGAAGAAGCACCGGCUAAUUCCG
rnacentral:rRNA from 1 species